AGAGUUUGAUCCUGGCUCAGGAUGAACGCUAGCGGCAGGCCUAACACAUGCAAGUCGAGGGGUAAUCCCGCUUUCGGGCGGGAACGACCGGCGCACGGGUGAGUAACGCGUAUGCAACCUACCUUUAACAGGGGGAUAGCCCGAAGAAAUUCGGAUUAAUACCCCAUAAUACUAUGAAUAAGCAUUUAUUUAUAUUAAAAACUCCGGUGGUUAAAGAUGGGCAUGCGUAACAUUAGUUAGUUGGUGAGGUAACGGCUCACCAAGACUACGAUGUUUAGGGGGCCUGAGAGGGUGGUCCCCCACACUGGUACUGAGACACGGACCAGACUCCUACGGGAGGCAGCAGUGAGGAAUAUUGCGCAAUGGAGGCAACUCUGACGCAGCCAUGCCGCGUGCAGGAUGACGGCCCUACGGGUUGUAAACUGCUUUUAUACAGGAAGAACUUUCCGCACGUGUGCGGGAUUGACGGUACUGUACGAAUAAGCACCGGCUACCUCCGUGCCAGCAGCCGCGGUAAUACGGAGGGUGCAAGCGUUAUCCGGAUUUAUUGGGUUUAAAGGGUGCGUAGGCGGGAUAAUAAGUCAGUGGUGAAAUACUGCAGCUCAACUGUAGAACUGCCAUUGAUACUGUUAUUCUUGAGUUCGAUUGAGGUAGGCGGAAUGUGUAAUGUAGCGGUGAAAUGCUUAGAUAUUACACAGAACACCGAUUGCGUAGGCAGCUUACUAAGUCGACACUGACGCUGAGGCACGAAAGCGUGGGGAGCGAACAGGAUUAGAUACCCUGGUAGUCCACGCUGUAAACUAUGAUCACUAGCUGUUGGCGAUACAUCGAUCAGCGGCAAAGCGAAAGCAUUAAGUGAUCCACCUGGGGAGUACGGUCGCAAGAUUGAAACUCAAAGGAAUUGACGGGGGCCCGCACAAGCGGUGGAACAUGUGGUUUAAUUCAUGAUACGCGAGGAACCUUACCUGGGCUUAAAUGCAGAUUGACGUUUCGGGAAACCGGAAUUCUCUUCGGAGCGAUUUGCAAGGUGCUGCAUGGUUGUCGUCAGCUCGUGCCGUGAGGUGUCGGGUUAAGUCCCAUAACGAGCGCAACCCCUAUUGUUAGUUGCCAGCGGAUAAUGCCGGGGACUCUAACGAAACUGCCGGUGUAAACCGAGAGGAAGGUGGGGAUGACGUCAAAUCAGCACGGCCCUUAUGUCCAGGGCUACACACGUGUUACAAUGGUCGGUACAGAGGGCAGCUACCUGGUGACAGGAUGCUAAUCUCGAAAGCCGGUCUUAGUUCGGAUCGAAGUCUGCAACUCGACUUCGUGAAGCUGGAAUCGCUAGUAAUCGCGCAUCAGCAACGGCGCGGUGAAUACGUUCCCGGGCCUUGUACACACCGCCCGUCAAGCCAUGGAAGCUGGGGGUACCUGAAGU
rnacentral:rRNA from 1 species